CUAGUACUCCCUCCAUCCCAAAAUUCUUGUCUUAGAUUUGUCUAGAUACGGAUGUAUCUAACACUAAAACGUAACUAGAUACAUCCGUAUUUAGACAAAUCUAAGACAAGAAUUUUGGGACGGAGGGAGUAUUUA
rnacentral:pre_miRNA from 1 species